rnacentral:rRNA from 1 species
AUUGAACGCUGGCGGCAGGCCUAAUACAUGCAAGUCGAACGAGUGGCGGACGGGUGAGUAAUGUGUGGGAAACUGCCUGAUGGAGGGGGAUAACUACUGGAAACGGUAGCUAAUACCGCAUACCAUCGGAUGUGCACAGAUGGGAUUAGCUAGUGGGGGGGGUAACGGCGCACCUAGGCGACGAUCCCUAGCUGGUCUGAGAGGAUGACCAGCCACACUGGAACGGAGACACGGUCCAGACGCCUACGGAAGGCAGCAGUGGGGAAUAUUGCACAAUGGGCGCAAGCCUGAUGCAGCCAUGCCGCGUGUAUGAAGAAGGCCUUCGGGUUGUAAAGUACUUUCAGCGGGGAGGCGUUACCCGCAGAAGAAGCACCGGCUAACUCCGUGCCAGCAGCCGCGGUAAUAC